rnacentral:sRNA from 1 species
GCCAGGUGCGGUGAUGCACUCCUGUAAUCCCAGUGGCUCGGGAGGCUGAGGCAAGAGGAUGGCGAGUUCAAAGCCAGCCUCAGCAAUGAUGAGGUGCUACGCAACUCAGUGAGACCCUGUCUCUA